rnacentral:rRNA from 1 species
CACGUAGGGCGCGAGCGUUGUCCGGAAUUAUUGGGCGUAAAGAGCUCGUAGGCGGCCUGUUGCGUCCGCUGUGAAAGCCCGGGGCUUAACCCCGGGUCGGCAGUGGAUACGGGCAGGCUAGAGGUAGGUAGGGGAGAAUGGAAUUCCCGGUGUAGCGGUGAAAUGCGCAGAUAUCGGGAGGAACACUGGUGGCGAAGGCGGUUCUCUGGGCCUUACCUGACGCUGAGGAGCGAAAGCGUGGGGAGCGAACAGG